GAUUAUUUGGUAACAGUAUGUCAUCAUCAUUGUCAGUAAUCAAAGUCAACACUCCUUCUGAGUCAAUUUUAUGCGCGACGAGGGGUUGUGGUCAUUGCAUUACGGUAAGAGCGCUACCGCUCACAUGGUUUGUCCUCUUGCGAGCGGGUCGUGAAAAAAGCUCAGACCGAGCCAACCUUUGUCUAAAAGUCGCCCACUUUUCCCUCAUUUUUGGGCUGAGACAUUGCUGUCACAAGCUUUGAAGGUUGACAUCUCAAGUGCAUUACAGGCCUUCUCUAUUUUAUAUCAGGGGUCUUCUUUUAUGGUCUUCUUUUAUGGUCUUCUUAGUCAUCGUCUUCAUUCAGGGAACUUCUUUUGGGUCUUUCCCUGUGUCUUAUUCGGAUC